rnacentral:lncRNA from 10 species
UGCAUAGUAAAUAUUUUCUUUAAAUUAGAUGAAAAAUAUGGAUCCCCAUCCAUGUACCUUUGCUCAACUGUCCUCAGACCAGAUCCAGAAUUCACCCUGCUGUUUCUCCAUGAGUCUGACCUGCAUCAACUGCCUCCCUUAUUCUGGGAUUCCAGUUGUGGAGCUCAAGGACAAGUCCAUUCUGGGCUGGCUGUAUCCAACUUCUUUAGUCCAACUAUAUCCCCACUGGAAGCCAGGCUCUUUCCAACAGCUGUCACCCAUGCCUCUUUCUAUGUUUGUUAUCUGUCUCUAGGUUCUGGUAACUACUUCCUUCCCUUGCCCCUUCUGGCCUAGGGUGCUACCAAUCCCUCCUCCAAAUCCAACUGUCACUAGCCUCAAAGUACUUGUAGCUUCCUCACCUUACUUUCACCUUAAUAAAUGGUCCCCCUACUAUCUCUCUUCAAAGCACCCAAUUUGAGUGUGCCAUCUGUUUCUUGCCAGGAUCCUGGUUGGUACAUCAACCAAGCUGCACUGAUGGAGGAGCACUGUGCUGAACUUUAGGAAUGAAGCCACAGGGCCCUCACUGCCCCCAUAGUCACCUUGGUCAUCUUCUGCCUCCCUGAAAGACUAAAUUCAG